AGGGAUAUAGUUCAGUUGGUAGAACGCAGGUCUCCAAAACCUGAUGUCGUAGGUUCGAGUCCUACUAUCCCUG
rfam:Clostridiales bacterium GWD2_32_59 gwd2_scaffold_812, whole genome shotgun sequence.